GAUGAAGGAACGUAGCGAAAUGCGAUAAGUAAUGUGAAUUGCAGAAUUCAGUGAAUCAUCGAAUCUUUGAACGCACCUUGCGCCUUUUGGUAUUCCGAAAGGCACACCUGUUGAGCGUCAUGAAUACCUCAAUCUCCAUCUUUUCUUCGGAUUGAUGGGUGACUUGGAUGUUGAGCCCUGCUGGUAUGCUAUAUCAGCUGGCUUUAAACUUAUUAGCCGGCUCUGUACUGGAUCGGUUUGACUCGACGUGAUAAUAUUAUCGUUGAGGAUGCAUGUCUCAUGCAGCCGGAAAGUAUCAAAGCAGCUUCUAGCUUGCCUUUAGUGCACUUUUACAUUUUAGACCUCAGAUCAGGUGGGACUACCCGCUGAACUUAAGCAUAUCAAUAAGCGGAGGA
rnacentral:misc_RNA from 1 species